GAUGAACGCUGGCGGCGUGCCUAAUACAUGCAAGUCGAGCGAACAGACGAGGAGCUUGCUCCUCUGACGUUAGCGGCGGACGGGUGAGUAACACGUGGAUAACCUACCUAUAAGACUGGGAUAACUUCGGGAAACCGGAGCUAAUACUGGAUAAUAUAUUGAACCGCAUGGUUCAAUAGUGAAAGACGGUUUUGCUGUCACUUAUAGAUGGAUCCGCGCCGCAUUAGCUAGUUGGUAAGGUAACGGCUUACCAAGGCGACGAUGCGUAGCCGACCUGAGAGGGUGAUCGGCCACACUGGAACUGAGACACGGCCCAGACUCCUACGGGAGGCAGCAGUAGGGAAUCUUCCGCAAUGGGCGAAAGCCUGACGGAGCAACGCCGCGUGAGUGAUGAAGGUCUUCGGAUCGUAAAACUCUGUUAUUAGGGAAGAACAAAUGUGUAAGUAACUAUGCACGUCUUGACGGUACCUAAUCAGAAAGCCACGGCUAACUACGUG
rnacentral:rRNA from 1 species